GACGAACGCUGGCGGCGUGCCUAAUACAUGCAAGUAGAACGCUGAAGCUUGGUGCUUGCCCCGAGCGGAUGAGUUGCGAACGGGUGAGUAACGCGUAGGUAACCUGCCUGGUAGCGGGGGAUAACUAUUGGAAACGAUAGCUAAUACCGCAUAAGAGUAGAUGUUGCAUGACAUUUGCUUAAAAGGUGCAAUUGCAUCACUACCAGAUGGACCUGCGUUGUAUUAGCUAGUUGGUGAGGUAACGGCACACCAAGGCAACGAUACAUAGCCGACCUGAGAGGGUGAUCGGCCACACUGGGACUGAGACACGGCCCAGACUCCUACGGGAGGCAGCAGUAGGGAAUCUUCGGCAAUGGACGGAAGUCUGACCGAGCAACGCCGCGUGAGUGAAGAAGGUUUUCGGAUCGUAAAGCUCUGUUGUAAGAGAAGAACGAGUGUGAGAGUGGAAAGUUCACACUGUGACGGUAUCUUACCAGAAAGGGACGGCUAACUACGUG
rnacentral:rRNA from 1 species